GACGAACGCUGGCGGCGUGCUUAACACAUGCAAGUCGAACGGAAAGGCUCCAGCUUGCUGGAGUACUCGAGUGGCGAACGGGUGAGUAACACGUGGGUAAUCUGCCCUGCACUCUGGGAUAAGCCUGGGAAACUGGGUCUAAUACUGGAUAUGACCUUUCUCCUUAUAGGGUUUGGUGGAAAGUUUUUCGGUGUAGGAUGAGCCCGCGGCCUAUCAGCUUGUUGGUGGGGUGAUGGCCUACCAAGGCGACGACGGGUAGCCGGCCUGAGAGGGUGAUCGGCCACAUUGGGACUGAGAUACGGCCCAGACUCCUACGGGAGGCAGCAGUGGGGAAUAUUGCACAAUGGGCGGAAGCCUGAUGCAGCGACGCCGCGUGAGGGAUGACGGCCUUCGGGUUGUAAACCUCUUUCAGCAGGGACGAAGCGUAAGUGACGGUACCUGCAGAAGAAGCACCGGCUAACUAUGUG
rnacentral:rRNA from 1 species